GACGAACGCUGGCGGCGUGCUUAACACAUGCAAGUCGAACGGAAAGGCCCUGCUUUUGUGGGGUGCUCGAGUGGCGAACGGGUGAGUAACACGUGAGUAACCUGCCCUUGACUUUGGGAUAACUUCAGGAAACUGGGGCUAAUACCGGAUAGGAGCUCCUGCUGCAUGGUGGGGGUUGGAAAGUUUCGGCGGUUGGGGAUGGACUCGCGGCUUAUCAGCUUGUUGGUGGGGUAGUGGUUUACCAAGGCUUUGACGGGUAGCCGGCCUGAGAGGGUGACCGGCCACAUUGGGACUGAGAUACGGCCCAGACUCCGACGGGAGGCAGCAGUGGGGAAUAUUGCACAAUGGGCGGAAGCCUGAUGCAGCAACGCCGCGUGCGGGAUGACGGCCUUCGGGUUGUAAACCGCUUUCGCCUGUGACGAAGCGUGAGUGACGGUAAUGGGUAAAGAAGCACCGGCUAACUACGU
rnacentral:rRNA from 1 species